rnacentral:rRNA from 1 species
AGGAAAGUCAUAAAUAUAUAAAUUAAAAUAUAUUUUAUUUAUUAUGUAAUAGUAAAUUAAUAAAUAUAUUUUAUAAUAAAGUAAUUAAUAUAAAUAAGAAUAUAUAAUUAUACUUGUAUCUUAUUAUUAUUUAUAAAUAAUAAUAAUGGGUAAGGUAAAAGUAAAUAUUUGUUAUAAACAUAUAACAAAAUAUAUAUGGAAAUAAAGCUUAAUAUGUAUAUGUAUAAAUACCUUAUAAAUUAUUAUAAUUAUCUCUUUAAUAAAAUAUAUAGUAAUAGGUAAUUAAUUAUAAUAAAUAUAAUUUAUAUAAAAGGUUUGAGUGAAAUAUUUAAUUAUUCUUAAUAUUAAUUAUAUAAGUUUUUAGUAAUUAAAAUAAGAUAGGGAUAUUAUUUAUAUAUAUAUAUAAUAUUCCUGAAUAUAAUAAUAUAGUAUAUAUUAAUAUGUAUAUAAUUAUAAAAAAAAAUAUAUAAGAAAGAAUAAUAAUACAAAAAUAUGCUU